CUUGACUACUCUGGAGCAGCCAGUUGCAGAGGGCCAGCCACAGCAGAGCAGAAAGGAGCUCUGAGAACAGAUUCCUCCAGGGGCUUCUGUCUCCAGGACACCCUUUGGUACAAGACAAAGCAAACCUCAGAGGGGAACACUCAACUGCUGCUGGUGGAUCCACAUCUAAUCCUUCUGACAUCCAAAAGGAGCUAGUCUUGGUUUCCUUCUCGUGCAUGCUUUGUGUCCCUGUCUAACCUCCUACCAGUGUCCUGUCCCCACAGUCCUCAGUCCCAGCCCCCUCUCCUGUCCGCUUCCCAUGAGCAGCUUAACUAGCUGCUCUGUGCCGAUUCUCUUCUGUUUUCCCAACGGAGGAACUUUGCACAGUGCUGGGCACAUGAUACCAGCCUGGAAGACAACGGAGCUGUCAUUCUGUUAAAAAAUUAAGAGAAGUACGCAGAACCUGCCUUUUUCUAAAUGAGAAGCUUUGGAAGCGACUGGACACUUUUGGCCAUUGCAGUCCACAGGAAGCAUCUCUGCUCACACCACGACUGAAUGGACACGUGAAUCUAGCACAUACAGUCGGAGGCCCGCAGAACCGGGAUGGUCAUGUAUCCCAGCCUAUGCCAGUUGUCCCAGCAUCAGUGUUACUAGCAUUAUCUUCCACUCUCAAAAGUGUUCCAGUUUGAACCCUAAAUGAUAUGGUCACCUCCACAGAACUGGAGCAGGGAGGGUCUUGGGUGUUCAUCUUUCCCACCAAUCUUAUCUCCUACAAGUGAGAUGGGUGUCCAGGGAGGAUCUGCCCAGGUUUAUGCUUUUGAUUUCCCCCUCCCUCUGCAGCCCUUCCCAUGCCCUCCUGUCUCCGUGAGGGAGGGAGGACCACCCGCGCAUCCUGCACGCCAGGCCCAUAUUGACGCCUGAUGCUUUUGCCUCCAUUCAGAUCUCGUCUUUCUGUGAACCUGAGGCUCAUUUCAAUUUUUCAAGGCAGGACCACAACAAGCUCUGCAUCUGCCUGCACACAAAGCCGAAAUCACAGUGCUUGGGUGGUGGGGACCCUUUUCCCUGAAAAAGAAGAAGUCAGAUCAUUUCUUAAGGUCUCUCCCAGCCUUAGAACCUGUGAUUCAUAAGAAACUGGCUGAAGCUUUUGGUUUGUCAAUAUACUCAUGAACCAAUUUACCAGAGUGGUUGCCAUCCAUUUCUUUGAAAAAAUUAGCACCUUGUGAAUUUUCAUUAGAUGAAUGAGAGUACCUAUCUUACAUAUCAGAGAUGUUUAUUAUAUAGUAAUAAUAAAGGUAGCUAAGAACUUACAUUGUAUUUACAAAAUGCCAGGCACUGUACUAAGCACAUUACAUAUAUUGGUCCUUAUAACAAUCCUAUAAGGUAGGUACAAUGAAUACCUCCCCAUUGAACAGGUAGGUAAAUCAAGGUACAGAAUUGUUAUGUCACGCAGCUAGAAUGCAAGCAAGUGGAACAUGAACUCAGGCAGUCUGGCUCCGGAGUUGGCCUUUUCACCACCCUGCUAUCCAGUUUCUCCAAAUAUCUAUGUAAAUAUAUGUUCAGCAUUCCUAACCGAAAUAAUCAGCAGGCCAGUCAAAUCUCAGCUGUAAAACACUUGAAGUUCACAGAGCAAGUCACUAUUUACAUCUAGGAGGGCAUUUCACCUCCGCUUUAUAGACCCCUUUACCGAUAUCACUCAGCAUUGUAAAACAACAGGUGUGUUGAGGUGCUCUGUCAAAACAGGUGUUUCUGUGUGCUGUGUUUACACUUAUUUAACCCAGGGUGUCUGGGCACAAUUGCUAUUUAUUUCUUAGUUAUACGGAAUCUUCCACAGGGAGCUCGUAUGAAAAGAGGUGUGAGGUGGGAAAAGAGGUGAGCAGCGGCCCUACCUCAGGACCUUUGGCUGGGCUUGUACACUACCCCGGCGACUGCUCACUGGACUCACCUGUCCCAGGCAUCCUCCACACUUUCUUUUCCAGUCUUCCAGAAGGACCAGUGAUCUGCCUACUGGCCUUUUUUCCCCUUCCAUCUGCUUCCCAGCAGUGGAACCUGCCUGCUUAAAUCUUACUUAUUAACUAUACAUAGAUAUGGCAGACUGCGAUUACAGUAGAAUUGUUUGGGAGCUCAGUAUCUUGCCUCUUCCCACGUACCUUACCCUGGGAAUUGCUUUGUACUUGCAUAUUGCCAUGUGGUGGUGUGUCUUUAAUAACCAUCAAUAAAGAUAGGCCUGGGAAAACACAGACAGCCACAGACUCCUCUAAAUUCACCUGACUGCACAGAACAGAGCUGUCUGGAGAGGUAUCCCGGCUACCCAGAGGUGGUCACCAGGAGUGGUCAAAGUAAACCCACCCCCUUUGAUUCAGCAGCCAGAGAGAAUUUAGAAGAAUAGGCUCACCCUCUGAGGGUUCCUUGAAUCCAAUAAAACCUGUUCUUAAGUCUGAGUUCAUUUAUGGAUUUAUUCUCCAAAUAUUUGAGAGUGACGGUUCUGUGAAAAGUAUUCGCCUAAUACCACGAGGUGUUUCAUAGCUUCUUUAUCAGAAAAGCAAUAGAGAUCAAGGAUGUGGGAAGGAAGGGGAAUUUUUUUUUUGAGACAGGGUCUAGCUCUGUCAUCUAGGCUGGAGUGCAGUGGCACGAUCUUGGCUCACUGCAGCCUUCACCUCCCAGGUUCAAGUGAU
rnacentral:lncRNA from 10 species